GAUGAACGCUAGCGAUAGGCUUAACACAUGCAAGUCGAGGGGCAGCAUGGUCUUAGCUUGCUAAGACUGAUGGCGACCGGCGCACGGGUGCGUAACGCGUAUGCAACUUGCCUCACAGAGGGGGAUAACCCGUCGAAAGACGGACUAAUACCGCGUACACUCUAUUUUGGGCAUCCAAGGUAGAGGAAAUGAAAUUCGCUGUGAGAUAGGCAUGCGUCCCAUUAGCUAGUUGGUGAGGUAACGGCUCACCAAGGCGACGAUGGGUAGGGGAACUGAGAGGUUGAACCCCCACACUGGUACUGAGACACGGACCAGACUCCUACGGGAGGCAGCAGUGAGGAAUAUUGGUCAAGGGGCGAGAGCCUGAACCAGCCAAGUCGCGUGAAGGAUGACUGUCUUAUGGAUUGUAAACUUCUUUUGUAGGGGAAUAAAGAGGGGCACGUGUGCCCCAGUGAAUGUACCCUACGAAUAAGCAUCGGCUAACUCCGUG
rnacentral:rRNA from 1 species